rnacentral:rRNA from 1 species
CCAAUAGCGUAUAUUAAAGUUGUUGCAGUUAAAAAGCUCGUAGUUGAAUUUCGGGAUCAAUAUGUCGGUCGUGCCUUCGGUACGUACUGGCAUCAUUGAUUUCUCCCUUCUGACGAACCACGAUGUCAUUAAUUUGGUGUCAUGGGGAGUCAGGACUGUUACUUUGAAAAAAUUAGAGUGUUUAAAGCAGGCUCACGCUUGAAUACAUUAGCAUGGAAUAAUGAAAUAGGACGUUUGACCCUAUUUUGUUGGUUUCUAGGAUCAACGUAAUGAUUAAUAGGGAUAGUUGGGGGCAUUAGUAUUCAAUUGUCAGAGGUGAAAUUCUUGGAUUUAUUGAAGACUAACUACUGCGAAAGCAUUUGCCAAGGAUGUUUUCAUUAAUCAAGAACGAAAGUUAGGGGAUCGAAGACGAUCAGAUACCGUCGUAGUCUUAACCAUAAACUAUGCCGACUAGGGAUCGGAUGAUGUUAAUUUUUUAAUGACUCAUUCGGCGCCUUAC